AUGGGUGCCUCCUUCCAGCCCCCCCUGCAGAGCCGGUCUGCCCUCCCUGGGGACGGGCCCCUCCCGCCAACUCCCUGCAGAGCCGGUCUGCCCUCCUCGUGGACGGGCCCCUCCCGCCAGCCCCCCGCAGAGCCAGUCUGCCCUCCCCGGGGACGGGCCCCUCCCUCCAGCCCCCCGCAGAGCUGGUCUGCCCUCCCCGGGGAUGGGUGCUUCCUUCCAGCCCCCCCCGCAGAGCCGGCCUGCCCUCCCUGGGGACGGGCCCCUCCCACCAGCCCCCCGCAAAGCCGGCCUGCCCUCCCCGGGGACGGGCCCCUCCCGCCAGCUCCCCACAGAGCCGAUCUGCCCUCCCCAGGGAUGGGUGCCUCCUUUCAGCCCCCCGCAUGGCUGGCCUGCCCUCCCCAGGGACAGGAUCCUCCUGCCAACCCUGUCAGAGCCGGCCUGCCCUCCCCAGGAAUGGGCCCCUCCCACCAGCCCCCGUCUUGCCACAGUGCCCGCCGACCCUCUCCAGGGACGGGUCCCUCCUGGCAGCCCCCCACAGAGCCAGCCUGCCCUGUCCAGGGUCAGGCUCUUUCCUCUAGUUCCCCGCAGAGCCCGCCUGCCCUCUCCAGGGAUGGGCCCCUCCCACCAGCUCCCCGCAGAGCCGGCCUGCCCUCCCCAGGAAUGGGCCACUCCCGGCAGUCCCCCGCAGAGGCAGACUGCCCUCCCCAGGGGCAACCCUUCCUUCCCUCCUGCCCUCUCCAGGGACGGGCCCCUCCCAGCAGCCCCCCACAGAGCCAGCCUGAUCUCCCCAGGGAUGGGCCCCUCCCACCAGCUCCCCGCAGAGCCCACCUGCCCUCCCAAGGGACAGGCCCCUCCACCCAGCCCCCUGUCCCACCACAGUGCCCAUCUCCCCUCCCCAGGGAUGGGCCCUUCCCGGCAGCCCCCCGCAGACAGUCUGCCCUCCCCAUGAAUGGGCUCCUCCCUCCAGCCCCCCGCAGAGCCGGUCUGCCUUCCCCAGGGACGGGCCCCUCCCGCCAGCCCCCCGCAGAGCCGGUCUGCCCUCCCGAGGGAUGGGCUCCUCCCGCCAGCCCCUCACAGAGGAUCUAG
rnacentral:lncRNA from 1 species